rnacentral:tRNA from 1 species
AGGGAUGUAGCUCAGUGGCAGAGCACCAGCCUAGCAUGCACAAGGCCCUGGGUUCAAUCCCCAGCACCACAA